rnacentral:misc_RNA from 1 species
UCCCGGUUGGCCCGGGCAGUCUCGCGUGAAAAAUUCAACACACGACAAGGGUUGCGCUCGUUGCGGGACUUAACCCAACAUCUCACGACACGAGCUGACGACGGCCAUGCAGCACCUGUCACCAGGUUCCCGAAGGCACUCCACCGUUUCCGGCGGAUUCCUGGGAUGUCAAGCCUCGGUAAGGUUCUUCGCGUAUCGUCGAAUUAAACCCCAUGCUCCACUGCUUGUGCGGGUCCCCGUCAAUUCCUUUGAGUUUUAAGCUUGCGCUCGUACUCCCCAGGCGGCAGACUUAUCGCGUUAGCUUCUCAGCCCAGGGGGUCGAUACCCCAGACUAAUAGUCUGCAUCGUUUACGGCGUGGACUAC